UGUUUACUCUACAUAUCUUAUUUAGGACCACCCCUGGGUAAUUGUAAACCGUUCGUGCCUCUCCUCAGAAAACGUGAAUAAAACAUCAUGUCGCAAUUCUCCAUGCUACACUGGUUUCCUUGUUGAUCUACUGCACAAAAUGGAUGAUGAAGAGAAUUUAGACAACUGCACAAUUCAAGACGUUUGAGCGUUCCGUAAUAACCAAAAAUCUUUUACGAAGGAUGAUGUAAUCGACAUUUUGGUUGGUAAGGAAGUUGAUAUGGCCUUGGUUCCAAUAACCCGAACUAACCUCACAUACACAAAACUUUAAGAAUCCAUUCAGAUCGUCAUGAAUAUUGAGAAGAACCUCGUAUACACUUUUGGAUUUCCGAAUAACUCUAGGCUAGCUGACCCGGUAUCGGACACUUUCCAUGGCAUAUAUCGGAUUGGCAUCGUAUCGGACCUAAUUAAGAAAUGGUUUAUAACAAAUACGACGCUGUGGAGUAAGGAAAAACAGCUCAGGAGGACAACCCUUCACCGACAGAAUCACAG